GUGAAAUAGGAGGAGGAAUAAAUAGUCUAAGAGUAGUGAGAAUGGGAACAUAGAGGAAACCUUGAGCUAUCCAUCUACGCCUCUAGAAUCAGAGGUGGAUAUCUAUCUUAGUGUUUCCCCAUGCCUCCCAUUCCUACUGUUCUUAGGUUGUCCUUCCCCUUCCUUUUACCU
rnacentral:pre_miRNA from 1 species